rnacentral:tRNA from 1 species
GGAUUGUGGUUUAGUGGUAGAGCACUUGCCUAGCAUGUGUGAGGCACUGGGUUCCAUCCUCAGCACCG